AGGGCGCAUGGUGAAUGCCUUGGCACUAGGAGCCGAUGAAGGACGGGACUAACACCGAUAUGCUUCGGGGAGCUGUACGUAAGCUAUGAUCCGGAGAUUUCCGAAUGGGGCAACCCAGCAGUUUUAAUCAACUGUUACCACUAGAUGAAUUCAUAGUCUAGUUGGAGGUAAACGCUGUGAACUGAAACAUCUCAUUAGCAGCAGGAAUAUAAAGAAAUUUCGAUUCCCUAAGUAGCGGCGAGCGAACGGGGAACAGCCCAAACCAAAGUGCUUGCACUUUGGGGUUGUAGGACUGAACAUUUGAGUUACCAAAGAACUUGAUAGUCGAAGGAUUUGGGAAAAUCCGCCAUAGAUGGUGAUAGCCCAGUAGAUUAAAUCAAAUUCUCUCAGUUCAGGAUCCUGAGUACGGCGGAACACGCGAAAUUCCGUCGGAAUCCGGGAGGACCAUCUCCCAAGGCUAAAUACUACCUAGUGACCGAUAGUGAACCAGUACCGUGAGGGAAAGGUGAAAAGCACCCCGGGAGGGGAGUGAAAUAGUUCCUGAAACCAUGUGCCUACAAUAAGUCAGAGCGCGUUAAUGCGUGAUGGCGUGCCUUUUGUAGAAUGAACCGGCGAGUUAUGAUCCCGUGCAAGGUUAAGACUAAAAAGUCGGAGCCGUAGCGAAAGCGAGUCUGAAAUGGGCGUUUUGAGUACGAGGUUAUAGACCCGAAACCAGGUGACCUAUCCAUGUCCAGGUUGAAGGUGCGGUAAAACGCACUGGAGGACCGAACCCGUGUAAGUUGAAAAUUGCUGGGAUGAGGUGUGGAUAGCGGUGAAAUUCCAAACGAACUUGGAGAUAGCUGGUUCUCUCCGAAAUAGCUUUAGGGCUAGCCUCGGAAUUAGGAUCAUGGAGGUAGAGCACUAUUUGGACUAGGGGCCCGUCUUGGGUUACUGAAUUCAGAUAAACUCCGAAUGCCAUUGAUUCAUAUCCGGGAGUCAGACGAUGAGUGAUAAGAUCCACCGUCGAAAGGGGAACAGCCCAGACCAUCAGUUAAGGUCCCUAAAUGUAUGCUAAGUGGAAAAGGAUGUGGAGUUGCAUAGACAACUAGGAUGUUGGCUCAGAAGCAGCCACCAUUUAAAGAGUGCGUAAUAGCUCACUAGUCGAGUGAUCCUGCGCCGAAAAUGUACCGGGGCUAAGCAUACUACCGAAACCAUGGAUGCGACCAUUAGGUCGCGUGAUAGGAGAGCGUUCUAAGGGCGGUGAAGCAAGAUCGUGAGGACUUGUGGAGCGCUUAGAAGUGAGAAUGCCGGUAUGAGUAGCGAAAGAUAGGUGAGAAUCCUAUCCACCGAAUGACUAAGGUUUCCUGGGGAAGGCUCGUCCUCCCAGGGUUAGUCGGGACCUAAGUCGAGGCCGAGAGGCGUAGACGAUGGAUAACAGGUUGAGAUUCCUGUACUAGUUAAGUGCGUUUGAGCAAUGGAGGGACGCAGGAGGCUAAGAUGUGCAUUCUGUUGGAUUAGAAUGUCCAAGCAGUAAGUCUUGUGAAGAGUCAAAUGCUUUUCACUUUAAGGACAAGCUGUGAUGGGGAGCGAAAUUUAGUAGCGAAGCGUCUGAUGUCACACUGCCGAGAAAAGCUUCUAGUGAGUACUUAACUACCCGUACCGCAAACCGACACAGGUAGUCGAGGAGAGAAUCCUAAGGUGAGCGAGUGAACUCUCGUUAAGGAACUCGGCAAAAUGACCCCGUAACUUCGGGAGAAGGGGUGCUGAUCGCAAGAUCAGCCGCAGUGAAUAGGCCCAGGCGACUGUUUAUCAAAAACACAGGUCUCUGCAAAAUCGUAAGAUGACGUAUAGGGGCUGACGCCUGCCCGGUGCUGGAAGGUUAAAAGGAUGGGUUAGCUUCGGCGAAGCUCAGAAUUGAAGCCCCAGUAAACGGCGGCCGUAACUAUAACGGUCCUAAGGUAGCGAAAUUCCUUGUCGGGUAAGUUCCGACCCGCACGAAAGGCGUAACGAUCUGGGCACUGUCUCAACGAGAGACUCGGUGAAAUUAUAUUGUCCGUGAAGAUGCGGACUACCCGCGACAGGACGGAAAGACCCCAUGGAGCUUUACUGUAGCUUGAUAUUGAGUGUUUGUACAGCUUGUACAGGAUAGGUAGGAGCCAUAGAAACCGGAACGCUAGUUUCGGUGGAGGCGUUGGUGGGAUACUACCCUCGCUGUAUGACCACUCUAACCCGCACCACUAAUCGUGGUGGGAGACAGUGUCAGGUGGGCAGUUUGACUGGGGCGGUCGCCUCCUAAAAAGUAACGGAGGCGCCCAAAGGUUCCCUCAGAAUGGUUGGAAAUCAUUCGCAGAGUGUAAAGGCACAAGGGAGCUUGACUGCGAGACAGACAGGUCGAGCAGGGACGAAAGUCGGGCUUAGUGAUCCGGUGGUACCGUAUGGAAGGGCCAUCGCUCAACGGAUAAAAGCUACCCUGGGGAUAACAGGCUUAUCUCCCCCAAGAGUCCACAUCGACGGGGAGGUUUGGCACCUCGAUGUCGGCUCAUCGCAUCCUGGGGCUGUAGUCGGUCCCAAGGGUUGGGCUGUUCGCCCAUUAAAGCGGUACGCGAGCUGGGUUCAGAACGUCGUGAGACAGUUCGGUCCCUAUCCGUCGCGGGCGUAGGAAAUUUGAGAGGACCUGUCCUUAGUACGAGAGGACCGGGAUGGACAUACCUCUGGUGUACCAGUUGUGCCGCCAGGCGCAUCGCUGGGUAGCUACGUAUGGAUGUGAUAAACGCUGAAAGCAUCUAAGUGUGAAACACACCUCGAGAUGAGAUUUCCCAUUCCUUUAU
rnacentral:rRNA from 1 species